rnacentral:rRNA from 1 species
GAUGAACGCUAUCGGCAGGCCUAACACAUGCAAGUCGAGGGGUAGAACACUUCGGUGUUUGAGACCGGCGCACGGGUGCGUAACGCGUAUGCAAUCUACCUUGUACAGGGGAAUAGCCCAGAGAAAUUUGGACUAAUGCCCCAUAGUAUAUAACCUUCGCAUGUUGGUUAUAUUAAAGUUCCAACGGUACAAGAUGAGCAUGCGUCCCAUUAGUUAGUUGGUAAGGUAACGGCUUACCAAGACGAUGAUGGGUAGGGGUCCUGAGGGGGAGAUCCCCCACACUGGUACUGAGACACGGACCAGACUCCUACGGGAGGCAGCAGUGAGGAAUAUUGGUCAAUGGGCGCAAGCCUGAACCAGCCAUGCCGCGUGCAGGAAGACGGUCCUAUGGAUUGUAAACUGCUUUUAUACAGGAAGAAACCCUCCCACGUGUGGGAGAUUGACGGUACUGUAGGAAUAAGGAUCGGCUAACUCCGUGCCAGCCGCCGCAGUAACAC